GAGACCUGAGUGUUCCCCCAAGAUGGCGGUCAAUCAGCGUAGAUACGUGUUUUUUAAACUGAAGGAAUUAUUGGAUUUCCUCUCCCAAACCCCGACCAGUCAUAAAACAACAUUGAUUAAAACGUUGCUCCGAACGACACAAUUUCAUGUGUACAACAUCUAAAGACCCGCAUCACUAUCAUGGGAGCUUUGCCGUUUCUAAAAGGACGUAUUUCGGGGGUUUUGGAGACCUAUUUUUCCCCCACCCCCAUACUGCUAAACAAGGAUGAGGGCGCGAUUUGCUGGUUGUGGUAAGGUUCUCAAAAACUGACUCAGAUUAAAUCUGAGGUUUGUAACAUCAACAGUGAGGACAAACCCAGCCUGCCUCUCUCCUUCCACACUGAGUCCAAACCUACAGUCACUGGGUCCUGAUUGUGACAGUGGAGCCCAGUUUGCACUGCAGGAUCCAGAGAUGGCAUCAGUGAAGCUGGAAGACUGCAGUCAAACACUGGAGCUGAAUGUCAACAUUAAAGAUGAAGAAGAGGAAGAGAAGAUUGGGACAUCUGUUAAUCAUGGUAACAGCAGGUUCUAUCUAUCUUCAUAAAUUAGACCUCCAUAAGUUAUGACCCAGUCUAUUGAUGGGUUGAAGUCUAACUCUGACAUCACACAUCCCUGAGAAACUCCAGACUGCACAACAAAGCUUGUUAUUCAUUCCAACCUCUCCACUGUGUAUGAAAAGUUACUGUACAACUGUUUCAUGAUGAACUGUUUAAAUCAGAAAGUAAUGUUAUUUCAUGCCACUGAGUCUUGUAUGGUUUGAUACCAGUUGAUACCACCACUUUUUAAACUAAGUCUUACAGAGUUGGCUACAAUGUCAUCCUCCAGACAAGGCAGAUCUAAUAUUACAGCAAAUAAUAUGGCUCAGCUCCAAUGUACUGAGAGAUAAAACACAGAACUUUUAUUGUAAAAAAAUGUGUAUAAUAUCUAUGAAGGACAUACAUUUUACAACAUACAACAUUUUCAGACAAGAUAGAAAGGCCAAAGAGGGCGGUGUUGCAAUCUACUGCAGAGUUCUGUCCUACUAUCCAGGUCUGUUCCCAAACAAUUUGAACUUCUACUUUUUAAAAAGCCACCUCUCUAAAAACAAGUCUCUCACCGUUGCUGCCUGCUACAGACUUAAAAAUCAUACAAUGUGAUUUUCUGGAUUUUUGUUUUAGAUUCCGUCUCUCACAGUUGAAGUGUACCUAUGAUAAAAAUUACAGACCUCUACAUGCUUUGUAAGUAGGAAACACUGGCGAUUUUGCAGGUUAUCAAAUACUUGUUCUCCCCACUGUAUAUCUCUCUGGUCACCCACAAAACCAAUUCUUCCUUUGGCCGCCUCUCCUUACAGUUCUCUGCUGCCAAUGACUGGAACGAACUACAAAAAUCUCUGACACUUAUCUCCCUCACUAGCUUCUCCCUCACUAGCUUUAAGCACCAGCUGUCAGAGCAGCUCACAUAUUACUGCACCUGUACAUAGCCCAUGUAUAAUUUAGCCCAAACUACCUCUUUCCCUACUGUAUUUAUUUAUUUAUUUUGCUCCUUUGCACCCCAUUAUUUCUCUCUACUUUGCACAUUCUUCCACUCCAGUGUUUUACUUGCUAUAUUGUAUUUACCUCCCUUAUCUCACCUCAUUUGCUCACAUUGUAUAUAGACUUGUUUCUACUGUAUUAUUGACUGUAUGCUUGUUUUACUCCAUGUGUAACUCUGUAUUGUUGUAUGUGUCGAACUGCUUUGCUUUAUCUUGGCCAGGUCGCAGUUGUAAAUGAGAACUUGUUCGCAACUGGCCUACCUGGUUAAAUAAAGGUGAAAUAAAAAGACUGCCUGAUGCUUUCACAUCAGCAUGGACCAACA